rnacentral:rRNA from 1 species
UACAGAGGUCCCAAGCGUUGUUCGGAUUUACUGGGCGUAAAGGGUGCGUAGGUGGUCGGGUAAGUCUCACGUGAAAUCUCCAAGCUCAACUUGGAAAUGGCAUGGGAUACUAUUCGGCUAGAGGAUUGGAGGGGGGCGGAAUUCCCAGUGUAGCGGUGAAAUGCGUAGAUAUUGGGAGGAACACCGGUGGCGAAGGCGGCCCCCUGGGCUGGUACUGACGCUGAUGCGCGAAAGCGUGGGUAGCAAACGGG